rnacentral:lncRNA from 1 species
CAAGAAUUUCAGGGAGCCAAAAUCAUCCUUUUGUUGCUUUGGAGUUUGACUGACACAUUUCCUGUCUUCCUAAAUCAAUCCCAGGGGAGAAAGGGGGAGCAAAGGACUUCAGUUGUGCUUCUGACAGUAUUCAUAAUCUGGAAAAACUGAUGUGUGUGUAGAGAUCCAGAGUGACUUCGCGUGGCAGGUUUCAGGGAUGCAAAAGCAGGAACACCCCACCCUCCCCCGCUAAGCUUGAUUUUGCUUCUCACAGGUGGACCUGAGCUUCAGCUCAUCUCAAAGUCUUCCCUCCUCACAAACCCGUCUGCAGGUCACAGCUUCUCCUCAGUCCCUCUGUGGCCUGAGAGCUGUGGACCAGAGUGUGCUGCUCCUGAAGCCCGAGGCUGAGCUCUCCCCUUCCUGGAUAUACAAUCUGCCAGGUAUGCAGCACAACAAAUUCAUUCCAAGUUCCCGUCUGUCUGAAGACCGAGAAGACUGUAUACUGUACAGGUUAUGGAUGUCUGAGAACAGAUACUCAAUACGACAGGGAAGAGAAAAGGACGUCUACAGUUAUGUGGAGGACAUGGGUUUAACAGCAUUCACCAACUUGAAGAUCAAACAUCCUACAUCUUGUUUUUAUUAUGGAAAUUGGAAUAUCUUCACACGUUUCUAUAAGCAAGAGGACCUGAGGCACUGUGUCUACUCUAGACAAUGGAAUAAUUGGGGAACUAUCCCUGUAGCUGUUAAAGUAACGGGUGAAGAACUUAAAACACUAGAAAAUACUUAGUUCUUGAAGGCAAAUAUAAAGACCACAAUCAGCACCUCCUGUGGAAUUUGAUCAUGAAUUUAGGGAUGGACUUUCUGGGAGAUUGCAAAUGGGAUCAAGUGAAAGACCUCCUCCUGAAGAGCCACAACGUAAAGACCCACCAACUAAAGAUCCACUUACGGAGACCAUUCGGAAAUAUUUUCCUGAAACCUGGGUCUGGGAUAUAGUCACAGUAAACUCCACAGGAGUGGCUGAAGUGGAAAUGACUGUCCCUGACACCAUCACUGAAUGGAAAGCUGGAGCCCUCUGCCUGUCCAAUGACACUGGCCUUGGCCUCUCUUCUGUGGUACCUCUCCAAGCCUUCCAGCCCUUCUUUGUGGAAGUCUCAUUGCCCUACUCUGUGGUCCGUGGAGAAGCCUUCAUGCUCAAAGCCACUGUGAUGAACUACCUCCCUACAAGCAUGCGGAUGAGUGUGCAGCUGGAAGCCUCUCCUGAUUUCACAGCUGUACCAGUGGGAGACGACCAAGAUUCUUACUGCCUCAGUGCCAAUGGGAGGCACACCUCAUCCUGGCUGGUAACUCCCAAGUCUUUAGGGAAUGUGAAUUUCUCUGUGUCUGCGGAAGCACAAAAGUCCUCAGAGCCCUGUGGUUCUGAGGUGGCCACAGUUCCUGAAACUGGGAGAAAGGACACAGUAGUCAAAGUCCUGAUAGUUGAGGCCUGAAGGAAUCAAGCAAGAGCAUACCUUCAGCUCACUGUUCUGCGCAUCAGAUGCUGAGAUAUCUGAAAAAAUGUCCCUGGUCCUCCCACCAACAGUAGUGAAAGAUUCAGCAAGAGCACAUUUCUCUGUGAUGGGUGAUAUCUUGAGUUCAGCCAUAAAAAACACACAAAACCUUCUCCAUAUGCCCUAUGGCUGUGGGGAGCAGAACAUGGUCCUUUUUGCUCCCAACAUCUACGUAUUGAAAUAUCUGGAUAAAACCCAACAGCUGACUCAGAAGAUCAAGACUAAGGCCCUCGGCUUCCUCAGAGCUGGUUAUCAGAGAGAGCUGAACUACAAACACAAGAAUGGCUCCUACAGUGCCUUCGGGGAUCAAAAUGGCGAGAGAGAAGGAAACACUUGGCUCACAGCCUUUGUGCUCAAGUCUUUUGCCCAAGCUCGAGCCUUCAUCUUCAUCGAUGAAUCACACAUCACCCACGCCCUCACCUGGCUCUCCCAGCAGCAGAAGGACAAUGGCUGCUUCCGAAGCUCUGGAUCAUUGUUCAACAAUGCCAUGAAGGGUGGAGUAGAUGAUGAAAUGACCCUCUCUGCCUACAUAACCAUGGCCCUUCUGGAAAGUUCACUCCCAGCCAGGCAUCCUGUUGUCUCCAAAGCCCUGAGCUGCCUGGAGUCUUCCUGGAAGACCAUAGAACAAGGACAAAAUGCCAACUUUGUGUACACCAAGGCACUGAUGGCCUAUGCUUUUGCUCUGGCGGGGAACCAGGAUAAGAGAAAUGAAAUCCUGAAGUCACUUGAUGAGGAAGCUAUAAAAGAAGACAACUCCAUCCACUGGGAAAGGCCUCAGAAACCCAGAAAUUCAGAACAGCAUUUGUACAAACCCCAGGCUUCCUCUGCUGAAGUAGAAAUGAAUGCCUAUGUGGUCCUGGCUCGCCUCACUGCCCAGCCAGCCCCAUCCCCUGAGGAUCUGACUUUGUCAACGAGCACCAUCAUGUGGCUCACAAAGCAGCAGAAUUCCAAUGGUGGCUUCUCCUCCACACAGGACACUGUGCUGGCCCUUGAUGCUCUGUCCAAAUAUGGAGCAGUGACUUUUUCCAGAAGGCAGAAAACAACUUUGGUGACCAUCCAAUCUACAGGGUCAUUUUCCCAAAAGUUCCACAUAGAGAACAGUAAUCGCCUGUUACUACAGCAGGUCCCAUUACCAGACAUUCCUGGGGACUAUACCAUCAGUGUGUCAGGGGAAGGAUGUGUGUAUGCUCAGACUACACUGAGAUACAACAUGCACUUGGAGAAGCAGCAGUCUGCAUUUGCUCUACGGGUACAGACAGUACCUCUAACUUGUAAUAACCCCAAAGGCCACAACAGCUUCCAGAUCUCACUAGAAAUCAGUUACACAGGCAGCCGGCCAGCCUCCAACAUGGUGAUUGCUGAUGUGAAGAUGCUAUCUGGUUUCAUCCCAUUGAAACCAACAGUGAAAAAGCUUGAAAGAUUAGAGCACAUAAGCAGAACAGAAGUGAGCAACAACAAUGUCUUAUUAUAUUUGGAUCAGGUGACCAAUCAGACACUAGCCUUCUCCUUCAUCAUUCAACAAGACAUCCCAGUAAGGAACCUGCAGCCUGCCAUUGUGAAAGUCUAUGACUACUAUGAGACAGAUGAAGUGGCUUUUGCUGAAUACAGCAGUCCCUGCAGCUCAGACAAACAAAAUGUUUGAAACUCCUAUUUAUGGAGAAGGCACUGCUGAAAUCCCCAGACCCAGGAAUCUUCAAGAUAGUGAUUUGUGUUUGUCUCUGAAAUACAAAUACUGAACAAGCUUUAUAAAUAAAUGCCUAGUUCUCG